CAUUAAUAUCAAUCCAAUGACAUUCCAUAGGAAUAAAAAUCCAAUGGGAUCCAGUUCUUAGCAGUCCCAGCCUAGUCAGAAGUACAAAGUCAAAUACCACUUGCACAUCACCAAGAGGUACAAUCUGAUGAGUAACAGGAUAUCUGAUCUAAAAGCUUGCCAGGUUUCACAAGCAGUUUGAGUAUCACCAGGGCAGAUCAAGAAGAAAUAUGAAGGCCAGGUUCAUAACAAGCAGUUUCUUCAUUGCAAUUACAGAUUUAAAAACUUUAAUGAA